rnacentral:rRNA from 1 species
GACGAAGGGGGCUAGCGUUGUUCGGAAUUACUGGACGUAAAGGGUGUGUAGGCGGUUGUUUAAGUUUGGUGUGAAAUCUCCCGGCUCAACUGGGAGGGUGCGCCGAAUACUGAAUGACUUGGAGUGCGGGAGAGGAAAGUGGAAUUCCUGGUGUAGCGGUGAAAUGCGUAGAGAUAUGGAGGAACACCAGUGGCGAAGGCGACUUUCUGGUCUGUAACUGACACUGAGGCGCGAAAGCGUGGGGAGCAAGCAGGG